CCCAGACUCCUACGGGAGGCAGCAGUGGGGAAUAUUGCACAAUGGGGGAAACCCUGAUGCAGCGACGCCGCGUGAGUGAAGAAGUAUUUCGGUACGUAAAGCUCUAUCAGCAGGGAAGAAAAUGACGGUACCUGAUUAAGAAGCCCCGGCUAACUACGUGCCAGCAGCCGCGGUAAUACGUAGGGGGCGAGCGUUAUCCGGAUUCACUGGGGGUAAAGGGAGCGUAGACGGCCAAGCAAGCCAGGGGUGAAAGGCCGGGGCCCAACCCCGGGACUGCCCUUGGAACUGCAUGGCUGGAGUGCGGGAGGGGCAGGCGGAAUUCCUGGUGUAGCGGUGAAAUGCGUAGAUAUCAGGAGGAACACCGGCGGCGAAGGCGGCCUGCUGGACCGCGACUGACGUUGAGGCGCGAAAGCGUGGGGAGCGAACAGGAUUAGAUACCCCCGUAGU
rnacentral:rRNA from 1 species